CUAACAAGGAUUCCCCUAUUAACGGCGAGUGAAGCGGGAAUAGCUCAAAUUUGAAAUCUCCGACGCUUGCGUCGGCGAAUUGUAGUUGCGAGAAGCACUUUCUCGGCGGAUCGGGCGCGCCUAAGUUGCUUGGAACAGUACGUCGCAGAGGGUGACAACCCCGUCUGUGGCGCGGCCGGCCGCUCACGAUGUGCUUUCGAAGAGUCGGGUUGUUUGGGAAUGCAGCCCAAAACGGGUGGUAAACUCCAUCUAAAGCUAAAUAUUGACGUGAGACCGAUAGCGAACAAGUACCGUGAGGGAAAGAUGAAAAGAACUUUGAAAAGAGAGUUAAAAAGUACGUGAAACCGUUGAAAGGGAAACGAAUGGACUCAGCAAUGCGCCGUUUGAGAUUCAGCCGAUCGGCGAGAUCGGCUCGGGGUUUGCGGAUCCGAAUGGACCGCGGUCUCGGGCUCGUUCUUGCCGGCCGUCGCACUUCUCUUGGGCGCACGUCAACGUCGGUUGGGUCUGGGUCUGAAAGGUUCCGGGAAGGUGAGUGCGUCAGCCCGGUUCUCUCGCGACUCGGACCCGACCGAGGCGGUUGCAGCGCAUGCCUCUUUUGGCUAGGGUCCCGUCUGUCCGGCCGGUCGUCGACCGCGGUGGACUGCUUGCAGUGCUCCGCGACUGCUGCCGGUCGUUGGGAUGGUGAUCUCGUACCAUGCGCUUGAGACGUUGGCGGUCAUAUGGGUCC
rnacentral:rRNA from 1 species